UACGUAGGCAGCGAGCGUUGUUCGGAGUUACUGGGCGUAAAGGGUGCGUAGGCGGUUGUUUAAGUUUGGUGUGAAAUCUCCCGGCUCAACUGGGAGGGUGCGCCGAAUACUGAAUGACUAGAGUACGGGAGAGGAUAGUGGAAUUCCUGGUGUAGCGGUGAAAUGCGUAGAUAUCAGGAGGAACACCGGUGGUGUAGACGGCUAUCUGGACCGUAACUGACGCUGAGGCACGAAAGCGUGGGUAGCAAACAGG
rnacentral:rRNA from 1 species